rnacentral:rRNA from 1 species
GAUGAACGCUAGCUACAGGCUUAACACAUGCAAGUCGAGGGGAAACGAUAUUGGAAGCUUGCUUCUGAUAGGCGUCGACCGGCGCACGGGUGAGUAACGCGUAUCCAACCUGCCCAUCACUUGGGGAUAACCUUGUGAAAGUAAGACUAAUACCCAAUGACGUCUCUAGAAGACAUCUGAAAGAGAUUAAAGAUUUAUCGGUGAUGGAUGGGGAUGCGUCUGAUUAGCUUGUUGGCGGGGUAACGGCCCACCAAGGCGACGAUCAGUAGGGGUUCUGAGAGGAAGGUCCCCCACAUUGGAACUGAGACACGGUCCAAACUCCUACGGGAGCAGCAGUGAGGAAUAUUGGUCAAUGGACCGAGAGUCUGAACCAGCCAAGUAGCGUGCAGGAUGACGGCCCUAUGGGUUGUAAACUGCUUUUAUAAGGGAAUAAAGUGGGAGUCGUGACUCUUUUUGCAUGUACCUUAUGAAUAAGGACCGGCUAAUUCCGUGCCAGCAGCCG